GGAACAGGGCAGCGUAGCCUCUGGCGUACCGGUUGUCUGAUAAGGCAGUUGCCGGGCAGCUAAGCUAUUGAGGAUAAGAGCUGAAAGCAUCUAAGCUCGAAGCCUCUCCUGAGAAUAGACCGCCUUCCACAUUUCUACUUCUUUCGGGAAGUAGGUGUGGACAAGAGCUGGGAAAGAAGAUCCCGUUGAUGGGGCAGAGGUGUAAUCUGAAAGGCUUCGGCCGAUCAGUUCAGCCUGCUGCUCCCAAUCGCUCAAGGUGUCAGAAAU
rnacentral:rRNA from 1 species